rnacentral:rRNA from 1 species
GCAUCACUGGUGUUCGGGUUGUCAUGCCAAUGGCACUGCCCGGUAGCUAAAUGCGGAAGAGAUAAGUGCUGAAAGCAUCUAAGCACGAAACUUGCCCCGAGAUGAGUUCUCCCUGAGACUUAGAGUCUCCUGAAGGAACGUUGAAGACGACGACGUUGAUAGGCCGGGUGUGUAAGCGCAGCGAUGCGUUGAGCUAACCGGUACUAAUGAACCGUGAGGCUUAACCUU